rnacentral:rRNA from 1 species
UCGUCUAUUAAAAUUGACUGCGAUUCGCCCUUAGAGUUUGAUCCUGGCUCAGAACGAACGCUGGCGGCGUGCUUAACACAUGCAAGUCGAGUGCGCGUGCCGUAGCAAUACGGCAUGGCGCACGGCGCACGGGUGCGUAACACGUGGGCAAUCUGCCCUCCGAUGGGGAAUAACUCCGGGAAACCGAAGCUAAUUCCGCAUAACAUUCCCUGGACUCCGGUUUGGGGAUUCAAAGCCGCAAGGCGUCGGAGGAGGAGCCCGCGCCCGAUUAGCUAGUUGGUAGGGUAACGGCCUACCAAGGCUUUGAUCGGUAGCUGGUCUGAGAGGAUGGCCAGCCACACUGGAACUGAGACACGGUCCAGACUCCUACGGGAGGCAGCAGUGGGGAAUCUUGCGCAAUGGGCGAAAGCCUGACGCAGCGACGCCGCGUGGGGGAUGAAGCUUCUCGGAGUGUAAACCCCUUUCGACUGGGACGAAUGCCUCGCAAGAGGAGUGACGGUACCAGUAGAAGAAGCCCCGGCUAACUACGUGCCAGCAGCCGCGGUAAGACGUAGGGGGCCAGCGUUGUUCGGAAUUACUGGGUGUAAAGGGUUCGUAGGCGGUGUGGCAAGUCGGGAGUGAAAUUUCUGGGCUUAACUCAGAAACUGCUUCCGAAACUGCUGUGCUCGAGUGUGGGAGAGGCGCGUGGAAUUGCAAGUGUAGCGGUGAAAUGCGUAGAUAUCUGCAAGAACACCCGUGGCCAAAGCGUCGCGCUCGACCACUACUGACGCUGACGAACGAACGCUAGGGAGCAAACAGGAUUAGAUACCCUGGUAGUUCUUAGCCUUAACGAUCAGGACUUGGGUGCCACUCGUUCCGGGUGUCGUCCCGAGCUACAGUUAGUCUUGCACCUGGCGGAGUACUGUCUCACGACUGGAACUCACGGCAAUGACCGGGGUCCGCCCAAUCAGUUGGGA